AGAGUUCUGUUUUUUAAUAAUAUUUUAGUGUCCAUAAUUGUAAUUUGAUUUAAGGAUAUUUUAAUCCAUGAAAACAAAAUUUUGAACAAGAAUUUUGUAAAGAGGAUUCAUGUUAUGCAAAAAAAAUGUAAGUUUAAUUUUGAACAAGAUUACAAUUUUAAUUGCUGAAUUUCUUUUAUUAGGAAGAACCAUUGCUGAUCGUUACGGAGGACGUUGACGUGGAAGUGGCAGCAUCGUUUAUACUAAACUGGAGAUGUCUUCAUAACAAGGUAAUCGAAGUUUCUAGCUAGCAAAAGAGAAAAAUAAUAAAGUAAAUUAGGACAAAAAAUUUACAUGGUUCUACGUGAGAUCUACUUGGAAAGGCAAUGUUUUCAAGGAAAAUUUAAUAUCAAAAUAUUCUCUAAAAGAGAAAUUUUAGAGUACAUCUGAUGUUCUAUGGUAUAAAUACAUAUGGUAGGGCUAUUUGAACCCACCAAAUAUUGGUUUAAGAUUCUCCUGAAUAAAAACAUAGGAAGAUGUACUGACAAGCAAGAUGUGUGCUAUUGACUCUCGUUGUUUCAUUGUUACUGACAAGCUUCUCCUGUUUGGUUUUUUCCUAGGUCAUUAAUUUUGAAUACGAGACAUUAGGAAUAGAAUUAUGAUUUCUUUCGCAACAUUAUGAGUUUUACUUAAUUUGGAAUGUACAUUUGUAGGCUAGCAGGCUGUUACAUUCAAGCAAUAAAAGAAGAAAACUUAUUUUUCUUUAUUUUUAUUGAUUAGCUUAUAACAAACGAUAUGGCGUGUCAUUUGUCCAGUGGUAAUUAAAGACUUUCACAAGUUACAAGUGAAUUAAUUGCAUUAUGACACCUUGUUGAAUGUCAUUGUAUUUGAAAUAAAAUAUUUGAGAUACAAUUUUGAGGUAUAUAUCCAGAAAAGGAAUUGUAUAUUGAAAAUAUCUCAUAAAUUAACAACCUUAUAACGCAAGGAUUCUCUUGCCUAAGUAAAGCAUAAAAUUUCCUUCAAAGCUGUAUGAUUUCAUAUUCUUUAACCGAUCCAUGAAGUAUUUGAUGAUGUUGGUAUAUAUUCGAAUUGAUUUUCACAAAAAAGAGUUACUUUCUGGGGAAACUACUCUUUUGCCACCUGUAGUUUGAGUCAAUCAUCAAUUACUACAUAAAAGUUUUAAAAAUUAACCAAAAAUUCUCUGUCGCUGCUUCUAUAGUUAUUGGAUAUAGUGAAUAGAAUUUAACGGAAACAAAUACAUUGCAUAAACAUAUUUAUUCUUUUUUCAUUUUAAAAUAUAUAGACUAACUGAGUAAUUGGCUCAAGUCUCAAAUUAUGGGGAGGAAACGGACAUUUACUCUUACUUUCAUAUUCAUAAACUUUCUUUCGACAUACUUACCUUCUUUCCCGAAAAUCUUGAUGGCUUCUUGGAGAGGCCACGCGCACAAACACAAUCAAGUGAAAAGCCUCUUUGAAGUCACGCAUGGGAUCGGAUAUCAAUUUAGCACUUACUUUUACUGUAAACGGACAAACAAUUGCACAUGGAAUGUAAAGGGUGAUUUUCCUUGUUCUGACAUUGAAGUGGUCUUCAAGCAAAGACCUUGGGUCAAGAAAAGGAUCUGCAAACUUAUGAAUGGGGACAAAGUCAUGAGUUGGCUCAGUUGAUUAACUAUAUAUGAUUCGAUCUUUUUUUUCUAAAUUGUAGAAAAUUUUUACACACAUAACCAAAUUUCUCUUAUUAUGCACGAGUUUCUUCGGAGUACAACUUCAGGCGGUGAUAGUGAUUUAGGUUUGAAAAUAUUGUUUUAAGUAUUUCUGUAAGUAGAAUUUUUUUUUCCCUUCAAGUUGAAUGGAUAGAAAAUUUAGCUAAAAAUAAUAAAGAAAAAAAUGCUUUCGAGGAAAUUGCAUUUCUUCUGUUCAAUGAAUAAUGCGAGAAAUUUUCAAUAUUCAUUCAUUCACUUUGUGUUUAUCUGUAUUAUUCGUUCUAAUAUGUCAAAGCGUACGCAUUAAUUCGUUUCUGUUUUAAAACAUGAUAGCUAGUGUGACCCAACUGUGAAUGUGAUUUAGUACAUUAUUUCAUUUUUAAAAUCAGCAAUUUAAUGUUUAGUAUGACUUUUAAUUUCUUAUUAACACGUGUUUGGUAAGACAUUUAAAAUUAUAUGACCCUUUUAUUAUUAUGGAAAAAGACACCUAUAAUUUUAAGAAUUGAGAAAAUGGUCAAGUAAACCCCUAAAUUUUCAAUAAGAAUACUAAGACCUCCUUUCAAUUAUAAUAUCCUUUAACUCUUUCAACCCAAAAACAUGAAUUAGUUUCCAAUUUAGUGUUCGGUUUUAUGAGAAUUCCAAAAAGAAGUGUAAUGAUUCUAAGGUAUUUACCGGAAUUAAUUACUUGGUCUGUUUUAUUUAAAGCAUAUGUAGAUAAUUUGAAAAUUAUCGUGGCAUGUGUAGAUAAUUAAAAUAAUCGUAGUCACACUAAAAGGCUAAAAUCAAAAGAUCCGUCUUGCAUAGUCAUAUGAUCAUCGUCGAGGGGAAAUAAUCCCUAUCUUGCAAGCUAGGUUUUCAUGUUAUAUCUAUCUCCUUAAGCCAUAAGAAUUAGGGUUUAAACCUUUCGGAAGUCGCCAUCUGUUUAAGAAAAUAAUCUCCGCGGACCCUCAAAAACCAUGAUUUGUUCGGAUUUGUAUCCUAUAUUUUUUGCUCAGCUUCGUAAGGAUCUUAUGACAUGUGUUAUAAUUGCUUUUAAGGGCUAUAUAUAUUUUCUUUCUUUUUUUUAGUAGUAUAAAACGGUCUAUUAUUCCCUUGAAUUUUUUUUUGUUUGGUAGUGUGAUUAUUAUAGGAUUGGCUGAAACUUUCCCAAUUUCGUCAGACUCUUGUCCUUCUUCUUCUUACAUUUCUUUCUUUUCGUUAUUUUUUUAUUUAAAAUAUUCUGGGCAGCUAAUUUCUUCCUUCUUCUCCUUCUUCCAAUCUCACGAACAUUGGACCAUUACAAAUCCUUGAUUUAUGUGGAGAAAAUAAAAGUUAAAAUUUUCCUACUAACAAAAAAACAAAAAAAUUAGAGAAAGAGAAGAAAAUAUAAAACUAAAUCAAGAUUUCACUAUAAAAAUCGAAUCCAAUCUAAGUCAAAUUCCUUGCAUAUAUAUGAAAAUUUAAUAUCUUCAUGAAUCGGUUCCAACAAUUGAAAUAAAAAAAAAUUAAUUAUAUUCCAACAAUUGUUUUUAUUUCUUUAUAUCCACUAUUGUUGAAAUUUUGAGCUUGAAUAGAGUUAUUGUGAAUUUUCCCCAAAAAAAAAAAGAGUGAGAAAAGAGAGAGAGAGAGAGAGAAACAAAGACAAAGAUAUUUUAGAAGAAAGUGAGAUUAAAAAAAAAUUAGUUAAUAAAACGCGUUCAAGUUGUAAAAAAUGAAAAAAAAAUACUGUGAACAGUAACACGGUUUGUCUUUGAAUAAAGCGCGUUCAAGUAAAUAGUUUUUCUUUUUAAAAAAUUGUUUUGAGUUAAUCAUAGGCCGUUAAGGGUUUUUUUUUUUUUGAUGAACUAGGGCUCUAAAAAGAGCUAAAGAACAACAGAGGGGGGAUGAGAGACCCUGUAUGAGUCAUGAAGUAAGAGGGACCUAACACCCAAAGGAGAGGUACGGUACACAAUAAGCCCAAGAGGGAUAGAAAAAGCGAGGUUCGCCAUAUAAUCUGCAGCGAAGUUAGCUUCUUUGUAGAUAUGCGAGAUGGAGACUUGCCAAUCCAAAGUAAGGUAAUCCUUAAUAGCCUGGAUCAAGGGAGCAUAUUCAUUAGACAUCACCGAAGGUCUAGCCACCAACUGUGUAACACACAGGCUAUCCGUUUCAACUUUCAAUUUUCGGAUGCCAGAAUUCCAAGCAAGUUAAAGCCCCUGAUACAAACCCCAAAGUUCCGCGACAAUAACAGAGCAGGAGCCAAUCAUCAUCCCAAAUCCGGUUAGCCAACGCCCUAGAUAAUCCCGAAUCAGGCCACCUGCAGUAGAAGUUCCAUGAAACCUGUGAGCACCAUCCAUGUUCAAGGUACACCAGGGCCACACGGGAGGAUGCCAAGAAAUCCACUUGUGAGCCCUAAUGUUCUUUGUGAUCAACGGGUGAUUAUGAAGCUUGUGAAUCUCCUCAGCUCGAGUGCGGACAUCCACCAACAAAGCCAAAGGCUCCAUUAUCAUUUGGUUAAAGAUAAACUGAUUUCUCCAAAACCAAAUCCGCCAUAAAGCAACCCAAAAAAAAAAAAAAAACUACCCAAUUUGAAACAUUCCCCACCCUACUAUCAUCAAUCAAAUUCGAACGAAGCCAAUGGUUAAGCCGAGAGUUGAAACAACCGUGUCUUUUACUUAUAGGAAUAAUAUUGAGCCAAAACUGCUUUACCAAAGGACAAUCACGAAGAGCAUGAAUAACAUCUUCACACACAGCCCCACAACGGUCACAACGAGAAGAGAUGGGUAAAUGCCGCCUGACCAACUCAGCCUUUGUCUUCAACCCACCGUGAAACGUCUGCCACAGGAAAAUUCGCAUGCUCUGAGGGCCUUUCCAAUUCUAGACCAACCGCCAAACUCCAUCUUCAGCAGCUGGAUUGUGAUCAGAGAGAGCCAAAUAAGCAGGAAAAUUCGCAUGCUCUGAGGGCCUUUCCAAUUCUAGACCAACCGCCAAACUCCAUCUUCAGCAGCUGGAUUGUGAUAAGAGAGAACCAAAUAAGCAGAGCUCGUAGUAAAUUGACCAUGCUUUGAAUGAGCCCAAAAAAUGGCAUCCAUGCCCUUCGCAUGUGAUGGGGGAUGAAGGGCAGCUAUUUUGAGAAUUAAAUGGUUUGGAAGAUAUUGCUCAAAGCGGGACCAACACCAAAUCUCAUUGACAUCAACGAAGUCAGCCACUUUGCAAUCCAAAAUAUCCAUAAGAAUAGUGUUUGUUGCGUACGCAAUUAAGGGAGCAUUAUUAGUAGCCCAAAGAUCCCACCAAAAUCUAACAAAUUUUCCAUCACCCAAACUCCAGCGCCUACUCGCAAGAACCUCACUCCAAACAUGCCCAAGAGACUUCCACAAAUGAGAGCCAUAAUGGGUAGAAGCACCUGAAGCAGGUUAUGGGGAUCAACUCGGUAUUUGGUGGUAAGGACCUGGACCCAUAAACUGUUAGGAGAAGAUAUUAUACCCCAGGCUAGUUUCAUAUGUAAAGCCCGAUUCAUCAUAGUCAAGGAUUUAAAGCCAAGGCCUUCAAAAGCUUUAGGCUUACACACAUUACGCCAACUAACCAUGCUGAGCUUCUGCUGAGGAGAUGAACCACUCCAAAUAAACCUCCUGCAAGCCCUAUCAAUCCUCUCACGGACGCCACUAGGAAGGGAAAUAGUCUACAUAACAUAAAUGGGAAUAGCCUGGAGAACUGACUGAGCUAAAGUGAUACGACUAGCCAAGGACAAGUGGGAAGCAUUCCAGCCCGACAGCCGCUUCUCUACCUUGUCAACGAUCUCUUGAAACAUGCUGGAAGAGACUCUUGAGUGAUGUAGAGGAACCCCAAGAUAUUUAACAAGAUCAGACGUAACCGAGAAGCCCAGAAGACCUGAAAUUCUGGAGAUAUCUGUAGAACCCAUAUUCUUGGAAAAAUAUAGCAAAUUUUAUUUGUGUUUAUUUUAGCAUCCGAGCAACCACAAAAAUCUGAUAACACAGUCGAAAUAACUCUAGCUUGUUCAACAGUAGCCUCUGCAAGCAAAAGAAGGUCAUCAGCGAAAAAAAGAUGGGAUAAAGGUGUACCAUUGCGAGAUAGCACGAUCGGACACCACUUUCCAGCAUUAAUAGCAUUAUGAAUCCCAUGACUAAGGCAUUCAAUGCAGAGAACAAAGAGAUAAGGAGAUAAAGGACAACCCUGACGAAUUCCUCUCGAAGAGGAAUAAUAAUAAUAAAUGUUAAUAAUGAUAAUAUUAAUAAAAAUAAUAUUAACAGUAAUUAAUAAUAACUAAAAUAAUCAAGUUUAUAAAAUAUAAUAAUAAUAAUAAUAAAUGUUAAUAAUGAUAAUAUUAAUAAAAAUAAUAUUAACAGUAAUUAAUAAUAACUAAAAUAAUAAAGUUAAUAAAAUUUAAUAAUAUUAUUAUUAUUGAUUUUGACUCUUGAACAAGCUUUUGACUAGUUUUCGAAACCUGGAAAGGCUUGAAAAUAGACUCUUUAAGUUUUUUGUCAGAAUCCGAUUUUGAUGUAACAGGAGAAACAGCUAUGUUUGACAUCUGGAAUUGGUUUUCUAAUCUAGUCAACUGUUUUCCUAUUGUAUUUAGGUUAGCAUUACAGAAAUUAUUUUGUUGAAUAAUGCUGCCUAAAUUUAACUCAGCGUUUUUGUCUCUAAGGUGAGAAGGGUCACCUAUGAAAUGUAAGGAAAUGGUAAGAAUCAGGGUGCAACAGCAUCCUGAAUAAGGUCAUUUAGUUCGUCUAAGAUGGGGGCUCCAUACUCAUCCGUCUGUAUAGCAUUAAGAAUAUCUAAUUGUUGCUGUUUAGUAAGAAGAUGAUCUCACCAACCUUUAAGUUGACCUGUAAACCCAGCAACGAGAAUUUCCGCAAUGGCUUUGUUAGAAGUUUCCGAUUGGGUUUUAUAAGCAUUAGCUGCCAUGGUCAUCUGCUGCAACAAUCCUAGGAUGUUAUAUUCAGACAUAUCGUCAAUAUUCCACUCAUAGACAGACGAUGCAUUAAACCGUGAUUGGUUUAGUGCACUAUGUCUAUUAUUUAUGGCUAAGUCAGGUGGAGACUUGACAGUAGGUAAGGCUAAUUCCUAAUGAACUUUGUUGGCUCUAAGGACAAGUUCAUCUUUGAAGGCUUCGAUAUCAGAAGAGGCUAUAGACAUAUUGUCUUGUUCUAGUACACCAAUCUUACUAGACUGGGCAUUAUCAGGGGCUAUCUGGUUUUUACUAAAUGAAGAAGAAGCUUUUAUUCUAUCUAGUUGGUCUCUAAUGGCUUUAGCAAAAUCUGAUUUUGACUCUUGAACAAGCUUUUGACUAGUUUUCGAAACCUGGAAAGGCUUGAAAAUAGGCUCUUUAAGUUUUUUGUCAGAAUCCGAUUUUGAUGUAACAGGAGAAACAGCUAUGUUUGACAUCUGGAAUUGGUUUUCUAAUCUAGUCAAAUGUUUUCCUAUUGUAUUUAGGUUAGCAUUAUAGAAAUUAUUCUGUUGAAUAAUGCUGCCUAAAUUUAUCUCUACAUCAUUUGGUUUAUGGAUUUUAUAAGGUGAGGCUUUGAUCUCUACAGGAGGCACACCAUGGUUAAUGGUCAAACUCCUAAGAGGUGGAUGUUCAGAUUCUAUAGUUCUAUCACUAUCAGGAAGGUUCCAUUCAGGGAUUUUCUUUCUAAUAGUAAUGGGAUAUGAUUCUUUGAAAGGAUAAGAAAUUUUGUUAUCUGAAGCAUACAUCUCAAACCAAUCAAAAAAUAAUAAAUGAACUUGAUGUAAGUUUACAAAUUCAUAAUAAAUUUGUUGGAUUUCUUUUCUGUGAUUUAAGAAAUUUUUGAAAAAUCAAAGUCUUUUUUCUUUAUUAGUAUCAGAAUAAAAAUCAUUAUGGAGAAGAGUUUUAUUCAAUUCAAAAUCUUUUUUAAUGACGCUAAUUACAUUUUCUAUGACAGCCGAAAAUGUAGGAGAAGUUGGAGGAGAAGGUUCCUUCUCGUUCUGUCUUUGUUCAUGUUGAUUGCUAGUGUAGAUUGGGUGUGGAACACUAGUGGUAUAGUCAACAGAAUGUAUAGAAGAACUAGGUAUAUCCGAAGUGGAAAACCUAGGUUGACUUUGGAAAGGAAGAUUUAUUAUAGAAGGAAUUUUUGAAAAUUUCCUUUCCAAUGAGGGGAUACUAGAGACAGAAUCCUUGUCGGAAAAUCUAGUCGAAGUAGAUCUUCUAAAUGAUAAUUUGACUUUACCAUCAGAAUACUAAGUCACAUUUUGCAACUCUGUAUUAGGCUCAAGUUGUUUUGGAAUCAAUGGAGCAGUGGCUCCUUCAAGAAUCCAUUCGUCUGGAAGAUUAACAUCUUUCCAAUGGAUUGGUUUUGGAAUAACGGUGUUGGCUUUAGACAGAUCAUUCUGUAAGAGAAGAGUCUCUUCUCUUUUUGACUGGAACUUAUGUUGCGUACUGAACGCAGAAAUCAUGGCUUUGUAAGAGAUUUUAAAGAUUAAGGCUACUGGGACUGACCCUUCUAUCAUAUGAUAAUUAUGGGUCUUGAUUUGUAAGAUCAUGCUUUUCAGUAUGUUUUUGUCUUUUAAGGAAACUGUUAUGUUCGGGUAACAGUCAAAUGAUAUAGGUCCUUUACAAAGACUCGAUUAUAUACUACUUAGUAAAGAAUCAUCGAAAGAGAUGAAUCUCCCAUCUCUUAAAAUAGCAAGAAUAGAGGUAUUAAGUCCUUCCUUAGUCAAGGGUUUUAUUCCGACUUGUAUUAGGCCGAUGUGAACAUAAUUAAAAUUUUUAUCUUUUAAUUUCUUUAAGGAAUGUUCUGAAAAUAAGUGAAUAGUUUCAAAUGGCUUUGAAAGGGUUAUGUCACGUUCUUCAGUUUUUAUCACAUAAUCAUUCUUUAAAAAAUCAAGCUUUUUUGUUUUGUAAAUCAUUUCUUUAGAAAUCUUUGGUAGUUCCCAAUUAUCAAUUGCCUUAUUAAAGUCUUCAAUUACAAAUUCUUCUGAAUUAACAACAUUAUUUGAAUCUUUAGUCUUCCCGGAAGAAGAGCUGGAAAAGGAUGAUGUUCUACAGAGAAGAGAAUCCAUGGUCAAAACACUAUGUUCUAGUUUUAGUCUUGUCGGUAUGGCUACAAUCCAAGGCUAAGAAUUGGUUUUACUGCCCUUCAACCAAAUCGGGACUUACGACCAAAAACUACUAAGGCACCCAGAGGUAAACACUCGGCACAUAAACAAUUUUAAAUUAAAACACAAGUCUUAAAACACAACGUCUCUGUUCUAUAUUACACUAUCCUCCCCGUGGCUCUGAUACCAGUUCAAUGAUUUUAGGUAAUGCAGGAUUAGUAAGGAAUAAACAUGGAAUAUUUUUAACAGAACUUUAUUAUUAUUAAAUUUUAUUAACUUUAUUAUUUUAGUUAUUAUUAAUUAUUGUUAAUAAUAUUUUUAAUAAUAAUAACAACAACAACAAUAAUGAUAAUAUUGUUAAUAAUGAUAAAUUAAUUAUUUUUAUUAAUUAUUAAUACUAUGGGUAUUUUGGUAAAUUGAUUCUCAUUCCCAUUUAUUUUGCCAAGUAAAUACAUCAAUGGCAUUCUAGCACAUUCCCAUUCCCAUUUUAUUUUUUUCAAGUAAACAUUGAAAUCUCAUUACCAUUCCACCCCAUUCCCAUUCCAAGAAGUAAACGCAUCAUUAGAUCUAUGACGAUCGGUAGGGUUAGGCAAUUAAACUCAUGAAUCGAAUAAAUUGUAAUUGGAACUGCCAGUUUGAUUCAGUUUUAUAAAUGAGAAAACUGAUUGAUUCGAUUUUUGGUGAACCAAUAUACACGUCUUAUUUUUUUAUUCAGUCCAUUGAAUUUGAAACCAGUACCCGAAAGAACGACGCUGACAUUGGAGCCGGUUUCGAUGGAGCAUGCAUUUUAAUAAAUUAAGGUAACCACAUAGAUAUCUAUAAUAAAGUUCAUUAUACAUUAAAGCUUUCAGUACAUUAAAGCUUUCAGUCUACAUACAUGAACAAAUCGUUAUUGCUACUAUUUAUAUUAUUUUAGGGGUUAUUUGUGGUUUGGGUAAAUACUGCAACAUACAAGUCAAACAGAGACAUUAAUGGAUUCGGUUUUAUGAGAAUAACUCCAAAAACUGAUACUAAAGUAGUCAUUGUAAUUAAUUAGUUGGCUUUUAAAUGCUGAAAUUAUGGGUGCUAUAUGGUUGGUGAUUGAGUUUGCUGCUUCCAAAGGAUUGAAUGUGACUCGCAGUUGGUUUGUGCAUUUACAAAUCCUCAUUUGGAUCCCCUUGGGUUUUGCGUAACCGUUGGCUCACUUGUCGUUUAUUGGUUCAAUCAAUGAAUUUUUAUCUAAUGCGGUGGCUAAUCAAUUAGCUAGUUUUGUAUGCAGUGCACUCUUUAACUUUGAGAAAAAUCUGCAUGAGGGAACAUGUUGAGGUAGUGAGCUUGUUUAUAGUAAAUAAAUUUAGAAGUGAGAUGCAAAAUUUUGUAUUUAAAAAAUAAUGAGAUCCACAAUAAAUCUACAGCUCUGUUAAAUGACAGUACCAUUAGAUAGACUCACUAAAAUGUCUCAUGCAAGUUUUCUCAAGUAAAAUAGUUGUAAUGCAUACUACAACUGCUCUGUCUCAUGCAUUUCUCUCCUUUUAUUUGGUGAGAGGAACGUUUAUCACAAACCUGUAGUUUUACUUUCUAGGCAUGCAAAUGGUUUUUCGACAAACUGUUUUGCUUUAUUUUGUGUUGUAAUUCCGUAAUUUAUUUGCCUAGGAUUUUAGGUAUUCUGAUUUUUACAAAUUUGUAUUCAUGCAUUCAGAGAUAGGGGUACAAGAAUUAGGGUAAGUGAACAAAAUACACUUGGGUGACGUGAAGUGAAACUAAAAAGGGAACACUAGACCUUAACCUAGCCAAUACCUCAUUAGCCAUCAAAGUAAGGUCCCAUAAAAAAGAACCACGCAUGUUCUUUUGAGUCAUUAGUGUGCUCUUUGAAGGCCCAUUUUUAUUGGAGUGAUAUUUUGUUUCUCAACUACUAAGAAAGUAAGGUCUAGGUGUAUGAAUUUGCAGUUUGAUGAUAGCAUAUGCAAGGACCCAUUUCCAAAUAUGUUGGAGCGUUGCUGUCUUUGCUUUUUUCAAAUAUGGGUAAGAAACGGGAAACAAGGGGACCAUUGAUAUUCUAUAUUUUAUUAUUCUUUAAUGUUUUUGUGUUAGAAGAUUAAUUUAUUGAUAAUUUGAGGGUUAGCAGGGUUAUAAAAUUACAUCAAAUCAAAAUAGCACAGCAUUUUGUAGACUAAUCGCUAGCUGUACAUGAGAGCUCAUCAUGAAAUUCAUCUAUUGCUUUAUAAACCAAAUUGCAUCUAUGUGAUGACGGUCCAUGAAAUGAGAUUGAGAAUUAAUGAAUCUAAUAAGCUAAGGUGACUUUGAUUUUGAUAUUUUGUUUGCUUACUGCUUAGAUCAUUACUGACCCACUAAUCAGUCAGCCCGGACACACGCCCCCCCCCCACACACACACACACACACACACUAAUGAAUCUUUGUGCAAAGAAUUUUCCUCUUGUAUGAGUAAGGAAUUUGAGAUGAGCAUGAUGGGAGAAUUGAAGUAUUUUCUUGGACUUCAAAUCAAACAAAACAAUGAGGGGAUUUUCAUCAACCAAGCGAAGUACGUCAAAGACUUGCUCAAGAGAUUUGGUAUUGAUGAAUCNNNNNNNNNNNNNNNNNNNNNNNNNNNNNNNNNNNNNNNNNNNNNNNNNNNNNNNNNNNNNNNNNNNNNNNNNNNNNNNNNNNNNNNNNNNNNNNNNNNNGCCCCCCGAAAAAGGUUUUAAAAUUUUAUUUUUUUUUUUAUUGAGGGGCUUUUUUUUUUUUUUUUUUUUUUUUUUUCCCUUUUGUUUUUUUUUGCCCCCCUUUUUUUUUUCCCCGGGACCCCCCCCCCCCCCCCCCCCCCCCCCCCCCCCCCAAAAAAAAAGAUAAAAUAUGAGUUGGAGACAGCCAGAAACCACAAAAAUAAAGAAAAAUGAAUGGAAAAAGAAUAGGCUAAUUAAUGUGGAUAAAAAUUAUGACAAUGAAGAGAUAGCUAUUAAGGAAUUUUGAAGAUGGACAUGUGAUCCUAUAAAGCAAAGUUUAAUUUAAAUGAUGAGUCAUUGUUCCCUAAUUAAUAAAAAGUUUCAAGAGAGAAUUGAAUUAUUAUAAAUUUACAAUGUGAUUGAAGCAUGCUUGUCACUUUAGCUCGAUAGAAUUGUAUAGUCCAAUCAAGCUUGAUAAUAAUUGUGCACUGAAUUACCGAAUUGAUUGGUAGGCCAACUAACAAAUAAAAUGUGUUUAUUUAGAAAUGAGGGCAUUUUUAACAUUAAAUUUAAAAUAAUUGGAAAUGGAAUUUUAAAAGAAUUUUUAAAAAAUUGGACAAAUUAACUCUUUAGAAUUUUAGUACUCCAAAAAAAAAAAAGUUAAAGCCAGUAAUUUUUAUUACUUCAGUUUCUAGCGUAGAAUUUCGGAAAUUAAAUGGAAAGAAAGCGACAACACCACCUUUCUGAACUUCGAGAUUACAUUAGUCAUUAGUGUUUAUUCAAAAUAAUUUUUCCCAAAAUAGAAAAUAUGCUUUCCUUUUUCCUCCUUAAUUAAUUUGUCCUUAUCAUGGGACCGAAUCUAAUACUUUGAAAGAGCCAUUGAGUUAAUAGCAAUAAUAAAUAAGAUGGAAAAUUUUAGCAAUAAUAAAUAAGAUGGAAAAUUUUUACAUUGGAAAUCGUUAAAAUUUACAAAUCUUAUUUGUAAUAUUUGGAAAACGUGCUAGAGAUUAACCCAAAGCCUUUAUAACCUAAAGCCUUUCUAGCUCUCAGCCUCAGGCUCAAAUUCAUAGACAAAUGUCACUACAAACACAAUUUAAAGUAAAUGAUUCCUUAAGGUUUUGGACUUUGUUCAUUGAGUGGUUAACUAGCUUUGAAGUGGGAAUGUUUUUAAGCAACAUGAAUUAAGAUCGUGAUAUUUUUUAAAGUCAAGUUCAACCAUUUGGUAUGGUAUGGUGGGUGAUACUUCACAUUAUCAAGUUCUAAUAAAGGUAUCGCUGUUAUAUCAUUGAAUUCAAUUACCUUUAUAUUUUACUGGUAUCACGGCAAAAUCAGCAUAUCAACAGCUUAGCAGUAGAAACGGCAAGGAAUAAUUUUACUGGUAUGGAUUGGUGGGUGAUGCUUCACAUCAUCAAGUUCUAAGAAGGUAUCUUUGUUAUUAUCAUUGGAUUAAAUUGCCUUUUUAUUUUACACUUGGAUACAAAAGUGAUUUUGCAGGCCCUUUGAAAACAAACGGUGAGGAAUGAUUUUACCGGUAAACAUAAAAUAAAAUAAGCGGUACAACAACAUAAAACUGAAUAAAAUGAUAACAAUUAGAUCAAUGAGUAAUUAUCUUUUGGAAAAUAAGGAGUAACUUUGUCUUUUGCUUGAAGACGAUGGGUACUUGGGUAGGUUUAGGCAAUAAACUCAGGAGCAGAAUAAAUUGUGAUUCGAACUGUCUGUUUGAUUCAGUUUAAUAAUGAGAAAUUUGUUUGGUUCAUUUUUUAUGAAACAAUUUUUUGGCUGAUUUUUUAUUCAGGCCACCGAAUUUGAAACCAUACUAAAAAUCAAAGAUUGAAAAAAAAAAAAAAUCGAAGCGGAACCAAUCAAUUUCGAUUCAAUUCAUUCUCUUUUUUAAUUCAAUUCGAUUACCAUUUAAAGAGAACAGAACCGAAGCCAAUUCAGAUCAAUUCGAUUAAAAACCGAAUCAAACUCAAUGGUGCCCAAACUAAUGAGCAUUUAGUGCUCCUCUAAGUAUAGUUUAAUAAUAAUAGUAAAAUUAUUGUAGUCUGUGAUUUUUUAUUUUUCAUUUUCAACUUAGACUGAGAUGAUGAAAUGGGCGGCACACCACAUGUGUGAGGAAAUACACGUGUAAACCUCUUUGGUGGUGGUCUUGUUUUUGUACUGACAACUCCAAAAUUAUUACAAAAGCGAGGAAAAUUACAUAUAACAUACUCUCUCUGUCUCUCUUUCUCUAUAUACAUAGAGUGCAGUGGUCAUUUUUAGUUAAGAGAGUCGAAAACGAGUCGUAAAUUUCUCUUCUUGGGUUCAUGACUGAAAAUUCACAUUGUUGGUUUUGAAGAUUUGGAGGUGUGGUGAUACGCCACUCUUUGAGCGAGUGCAGGCUCUAAUCGAUUUGGAAGAGAAUUUGAACAGAGAAGAAAUGAAACAGGAGAAUUACAGAGAAAAGAAAGCAGGCGAAGUCGAGAAGAAGAAGACAAUUGAUAUUUUUCCUUGAAUGCCCUCACGGGUCCUUUGACAGUACAAAUAUAUUCUUGCCUUCCAAAACAACCACUAACGGAAUAAAAUUGAUGAUAACAACAAAACAAUAAUUGAAAACAGAACAAUAUUUGUUGCUCUGAUAUCUCAAGCAUUCUCGAACAUUCUUCAAGUCUUUGAGCCAUCCUAGUCUCUUUCUCGCGCGAGCUUGACCUGUCCUGGGCUGCUCUCUAGCUUGAGUCUCAUUCAAGGGUUGGGCCUAUCCCAUUUCUGUAGGCUGGGUCUCUUCCCUUACUGUCUCAUUGAGCUCUAUCUGAUUCACAACAAUGGGUCAAGUUGUAUCAUGUGGGUUUGUGUUGACUUGGAGAUGGGGAGCCCAGAGGAUUUUGAGAGAAGAUGGCGAUGCUUCAUAUUUCUUUUUGUUUUUUAUUUUUCUGUUUUUUCAAAUGGGCUUUACAUGCUUCAUCUGCACUCAUUGUCAAAAGUUUUGUUUUCAGCUUACAUGGUUUUUCUGCAUAUAUUUUGUUUUCAGCUUCUUUCACUACAGACUACAAAGGAUCAUCUCCAAAAGUAAACGCAUGAAAUCUCAGGACUUUUUUUUCCCCCGUUUUAAUAGUUUUUUCUUCUCAAAUUUUGGCCUUUCGAGUUCAAAUUUUCUUCCUUUUAAAAGAAUUUCUCAUUUCGAGUUCAUGCAAUCUUUUCUAGUUUUAGGUAAUUACUUUAUUUUUUAAUUAAUUUUCUUUCUUUGCAGGUUUUCUCUUCCCUUCGUUUCUUCACAUUUAGCACUUUUCUGCCCCAAAGUUCGCAAGGUUUGUAUUUUCUCACCACUUUCUAUUUUCACUUUAAUUUUCGUUUGUCAAUGGUCUUUGUUUUCACAAACUUUUUCAAAGUUCCUUGUUGUUAAGUGUUUUUUAGUGUCCUCAAUCAUAUUUUAGGGCAGCUCAAUCAUAUUUUAGGGUUUAGGCAAAUUGUCUUAUUUAGGCCUUUUAAAAAAUUUGAGGUAAAAUGUAUGUAUUAAUUUUAUUCAAAUUUUAUUUUAAAAUCAAUUUCUCUAGCAUCUACGAUGCAAAAUUAUUAAUCAAAUUUUUAUAUUCUAAUUUUCCAAAUAUAUUUUUCCUGUGACAUAGUUAAUUUUAAAUAAGUUUGUAUAAAUGGCUCCUUUUUUGAGAUUAAACUAGUUUUUCUAUUCUUCUCUUAUUUUUGAAGUUUUUUGUGUCCUAAUGCAUAUUUUUUUAGUAGACAUUUUCUUUUCCUAGUGAAACAAGAGUAAUUAAUCAAACAAUUAUACUAGAUAAUUACAAGAAAACAACCUAUGAACACAAUAAUAUUUUUAAAAAGAAACAAAAACUACUGAAUAACAUAAUUAAUUAAUAAGAGAAUGGAAAGAUAGCGCCUGAAAAUUUGAGAACUUUAACUUUGAUGGAUUGAGGCUUUGAGUAGUAGUAAUCAAUGAAAAGUAAAACAAUUAUUUUUUUUUCUUAAGUGAAAAGUAGGGUAGAUAAAGUAGUUUGUUCACCAAAUUAAGCAACAAGGUUUCAUGUAUUUUUUUUAUUGGAAAAAUAUAUUAAUGGAUAAUAAUUUAAAAAAUAUAUAUGUGACCUUUAUAGAGUUUUAAAUGAAAUAUAGGGAGGAAAUAAAUGGGAUUAAAAUUGUUAAUUAUAAUGUUGGGAACUUUGUAAGAAUUUUAAUAGUUUGUUUAUAGAAAAUAUAAUUAAAAAAUAAUAAGUUAAUAAUUAGUAGCUAUAAUUUAGCAAUAAAAUUAGAGACUUUCAUUUAUAGUGGGGCCUUAGACAACCGCCUAUAUUACUUAGGGGAAGAGCCACCUAUAUUUCUAUGUUUCUGCUCAUGUGUUUUUUAGCUUUUCUAAUAAGUGUUGCAUGUCCUUUCCGUUCAUGUUCUUAGCUUAAUGUCUUCCUGAGUGUUUUCAGAAAACAAUUUCUGUUUUUAGUUCUCUACUAGAUUUUGUAUUUUUUUCUUUAGAGUAUUUUCAUUUAUUUUUGUUCAGAAAGCAAUUUCUGUUUUUAGUUUUCAACUAGAUUUUGGAUUUUUUUUUCCUCUGAUUAUUCUAAAAGUGCUGUCAAUGCUUUUGGAAAAGUGUUUUCAUUUAUUUUGUUCAAACAUUUGUGGAAAACAAUUUCUGUUUUCAGAUUUUUACUAAAUUUUGGAUUUUUUUCUCGAUAAUUUUGGGAAAAGUGUUCUCAUUUAUUUUUGUUCACGUAUUUUCGGAAAACAAUUUCUAUUUUUAGUUUUCACUAGAUUUUAAAUUUUUUUUCUCAAUUAUUUUGGGAAAGUGUUUUCAUUUAUUUUUGUUCAAGUAUUUUCGGCAAACAAUUAAUCUUGGAUUUUCUUUUUUUAUAUUUUUAAACUUUUGUCAACACUUCUGGAAAACGAUGCUGUGAUAUUUUGAUAUACUUUGAUCUGUUUUUGGUGCAGUUUUGAGCCUUUUUUAAUACCAAAAACUAUCUUAAAAGAUAAGAAUUUCUCUCACACUUAUAAACUCAUCGUCAGCUCCUUCCACAAUCGAUAAGGGAUAACCUCAACAUUUCGAUGUCCAAGUAUGUUUUGAAAAUAAGUUAAGUAAUUUCAAUAUUUUAGUUUUGCGCUUUUUUAUUUCUAUUCUGACUUGGUACUAAAGUUAUAUUUCUUUAAUCCUCUAUAUAGGAUUUUCAGAUCAUCCUUCCACUAAAGUUAGCACUCAGAUAGAAUGCGCGCGCGUUCAAGCAAGUGAGUACUAACGAUACAUAACAAUUCUUUAUUAAAUAAAAAACCGAACCGAUCGAACUAAUAUAUGUCGCAGAAAAUUCGAUGACAUAAACUAUCACUAAUAAAUUACAUUUUUGCAAAACAAUUAUACUAGUGACAUGAACCGUGAAUCACUUCAAUGUCAAAAGAACACAACAACGGGAUUUGCUCACAUGCCUUUGUUGGGGAAAAUUCAGUUUUUAAAUUUUUAUAAAACUUUUUUAAGAUCGCUCUCAUAUAAUAUAUAAGAAUUUGUAAUCUAGAAAUCGUACCUUGAAAAUCUGAUUUAGCUUUUUCCGCUGAAGUGAUUUAGGCUCCCAGAUCACGAUCCGUCACCACCACUCCUGUUAGAUCACGAUCCGUCACCACCACGCUUGUCAGAUCACGAACUGUCACCAAUGAUCUUCCAGGUUAUGACUCAGGUUUGAUCUGCACUUGACGUGUGGGUGGCUUUAUCACUACCAAAGCAACUAGCACGAGAAAAUUUUUCUCUCAACAAUAGAGAGAAAAAUCUUUUUCUCUAAUCUGUAUAAAGUGACUGCUCCCCUCUUUCUUUAGAGAAAAUAAGCCUUUUUAUAUCUCCCUUUAGUGAAAACCCUAGGCUCCAAAUAAUGAAAAACAAAACUCACGUUACUUGCUUUUUCCAUAGGAGACCCACUUUGUAAAAUAACAUAAGGCCCCUUACACACAAGCUAAUUAAAUGGAGCCUCCCACUAAAUGAUAUAUUUAGGCUUUUGACCCAAAUAGCUAGUUAUCUUGCUUAUUAAUCCAGUAGUGGUGCAGUCAAUUAAAUGAGCUAACUCGGGGAUCAUUUGGGAACAUACAAUAGUGGCUAUAACAAUUAGGCAUGUAAUUAAACUAGCCUAAUUAUUUAAUUCCAAAUCUACUCCACUAAAAGAUUGGAAUUGACCUCCAUAAUUGUAUGCUCGAAUAAUAAUUCGUCCCAAGCCACAUUUAUUUCUUUACUGCACAAUCUUUUGUACCACAUCAUUAAUUAAAUCAAUAUCUCAACUGUCCAAUCAAUUUAACUACAUCUUGUCCCUUGAUACUUACUGGUUUUCUCUAAUGAUCAUUUUCAACAUACUAAAUAUGUUGACACACUCUGGCCAGAGAAUUCUAUGAUCAAGUGCCGAAAACCCAUCAAGAGAUGUGUUGUACAAAUUCUAUAUUGUUAAUCCAUAACUCCAAUACUCAUAAUUGCUCCCACCAAGAUACCGGGUAAUCUUGACCACAAGUAUGUAUCGUGCCCAUUGGUAACUCAAAUGGAAUAACAAUUACAAUCAUGAAAUCAUAAUUAACUCAAGAUUAAGAUUACAAUAAAAUCAAUGCCUAUGAGAUUUAAUAAGUCUGACAGUUAUUACAAAGUUAAUUAAAUCUCAUAUGUGAUCCUGUUCAAUGUAGUCGUACUACAUCAAUAAAUUCAUACAUGAUUAAGACAAAUCAUUCAAUGAAUUCAUUACAAUCUAUACCUAAAUAAAGUGCCCAACUUUAUUUAUCAACUGCGAACUAAAUUUAUGUAAUCAUAGGAUAACUUGUAUUUAUGUCCUCUGUGAAUCCACAUGGUGAUUACAUAAAUACACAUAAUAUGAUUAAAUGGACUUUGAUCAAAAUAUUAAUGCAAUUAAGAUAUUUGAAUAAAAUACCUCAUUAAUUUUAUUAAUCAGGAAAAAUGUUUAUUACAAUUAAAUAAACACAUAUGUUUUAAAAAAGCAUAUUUUCCCAACAGCCUUAGCAUCUAGAUUCACUACCCACUGUUAUCAUUAUGCUCAAUUUUCUUCACUAUUAUUAAUGAUUUAAAGGCCUAAAUUUUUAAUAAUUUAAAAUAACAAAACAGCAAUUAUAAAAUUGAAAUUAUAUAUGCCUUGUUUCAAAUGUCAUAAGGCUAAUGAUAAAAAAUAUUGCUAGUUAGAGUUUAUCACAUAUGGGCAUUGCAAUUUGCAAAAUAGAUAAAAUGUAACAACAAAUUAAAAUAAAAAGAAAAAUAAACAAAUCUAACUAUAGAAGAAAGUCUUUAUGUUCUAUCAACUGGCCACAAACAAAAAGCGUUCUACCAACCAAUUGUUAAAAGCUUUUUUUAGUACAACAAAAUUUUUAUAUAUUAAAAAUCAUUUUCUUUCAAAAUAAACAUUUUUUUAUGUUAAAAUGUUCUUUCUGCUUGGCACUCCAAAAAAUUGCCCCAGUGGUGAGACUCUACCUCUAGCAACUAAAAAAAAAAAAAGAUAUUUCGGUGCUUAUUCCUUUAUUUUUUUAUUAUUAUUUUCAUUUGGUUAGUGAACGAUAAAUAUUGAAAAGGGUUUUUUAUUUGAAUAUACCAAAUUUGCUCCUAAAUAUCAAAUCUAUACCCUAUUACAUACAUAUGCCCCAUGAAGGUGGAAAAAGUAAAAAAUAUCCUUAAAAAACUAUUUAUCUACAUUUUCUUCCUCUCUUACAAUUAGUUCCUCCCACCAUUUAUCUCUCAUGAUUUGCUCUUCUCACCAUUUUCUUCCUCUCUCAUUAUUUCAUCUCUUACCUCCAAUACAAAGGUUUUUGAUAAAUAUAAACGCUUCAAAAGGUGCAUAAUCAAGUGAUGAAUAAUGUAUGUUUGAAAUGUAAACAUUUUGUAUGCUUAGGGUUUGAUUUGAUUUGAUUUCAUUACAAGUAUAUUUGCUAAUGAUUUAUGAGUUUAAUUGUACAUUAUUCAUUUUUGUGCUUACACAUAUACACAAACUAUUGGAUAAAAUGUAAGGAUUUAAGACAUUAAUUUAAGUUAUGAGUGAUUGAAAAAUCAUUUAAGGAGGAAGUCGAGUAUUUAGUCGAGCAAGAAAUGAAGUAAGGGAGUUGAGUAAGUCGAGUAUUUAGUUGAGCAGGAAGUCAAGUAAGGAAGUGAAGUAAAUCGAGUCAGUUAUGAUGUAAGUCGAGUAUUAAGUCGAGAAAUAUGUCGAGUAAAAGUAAGCCUAGUAGUAAAGUAUACUCGACUCUUAACUCGACUUAAUUAAAGGGAUUUUUUUUUAUUUCAAUUUAAGUCAAGUAUUCUUAACUAGUACCGAACUUUCACGAAAAAUCGAGAAUUUUUACUGAUUAAAUAUUUAGAUAAGGUUAAAUUAAUGUUGAGUAUCCUCGACUUUUUACCUGACGUAAUUAAAUAAGAUUUUUUUAUUUCAAUUUAAGUUGAAUAUUCUCCACUAGUUACUAAACUUUCAUGAAAAGUCGAGAAAUUUUGCUAAAUGAAUACUUGGGCAAGGUUAAUUUAAAGUCGAGUAUUCUCGACUCUUUACUCGACUUACAUAAAAAAGUUUAGAUUUCUCCAAAUAAUAUUUUAUUUUAAUUGAAGUCGAGUAUUCUCAACUAUUUACCCGACUAACAUGGAAAAGUUGAGAAUUUAUGCUGAAUUACUAAUUAUAUAUGAUUUGAUUGAAGUUGAGUAUUCUCGACUAUUUAUCCGACUUUGAGGAUGUGAGUUCAGUUUUAUAAGGAUUUAAUUGAGGUUAUUUUUGUACUUUCUCUAGUUUUUUAAGGAAUAAAUGUAUGUAAAAUUUAAGAAUGUUAUAAGUUAAGGCAUAUAUUGAGUUUUAUUGGAGGAAAUUCCCACGCAAUUCUCCCUAUAUAAUUCUGUUCUAUAAUGAUCAUCAUUUCUUUGUUGCAUAAAUGUUUUUGCAUUUUAAACUGAUAAUGGAAUGUUCAUUUCAUAAGCUAGGAAGUUGCUCAGUGAGAUUUAGCUCCAUCAUGAACAAUGAAAUGAAGAAGAAGAAGAGAGAAGCAAAAAGAACAAACCUGUUUUCAUUUUGGGUUUCCUUCAGCUUCUCCUUUAGUGUUGAUGGUGAUACACUAUCUCAGUAUAUGGGAGGAAUGAACAAGGGAUUGAAACCUGUGGCGUGGGACGUUGGUCCGUCCCCUUCAUCCUAGAAGUUGAGAAAUUUUUUUACCAAAAUUAUCAAACAUAUUUUUGUUUUUGUUUUUCCCCUCUUUUUACUUUGGAAAGAUUGCAGGCACUCAAUUCAAAUUUAAUCUGUCAGUGAUCGAUGAUGCAAGAGCAGGGGAUUGACCAAAAGUCAUCCGAUCGGGUCACUCUUCCAAUCCGCAUCUAAUCUGAGCAUGAAAUAUUCGGAUCCGGUCGGAUGGGUCGGAUUGGCUCAGGUUUUUGUCUACCCCUAAGUUGCCGGCACUCAAUUCAAUUCAAAUUACCGUUUUGAUUAGUUGUCUCAAUAGUAUUUUAUUUGAUAAUUUUUUAUUUCACUGUAUCAAUUUCUUAGUCAUCUCGAGGGAUAAGGCUCUCUAUGUUCUAUUGAUUAGGUAUUUGUCCAUCUUUUAAUAAAUUUUUUGAUUUGUUGAGAUUUUUUAAAAAAGGGGGGACUCGAAUUCUGAGAGAUUAAAAAAUUAGAAUAAAGAAAAGAAUUAAAAUAAAGAACAAAAUGACAGCUAACUAUUAAAAUUGCAAUGAAACUGCUGCUUUUUGGAUCCAAAUAUAUAUAGAGAUCAAUCAAUGAGCAAUGUUGUGAGUGGUGUAGAGAGUUCAUGAACGAUUUUCAGAAUUUUGUCCAAACAAAUUCACAUUGAUAAGAUUCAAAAGUAUUAUUACUAGUCUACCAAUGCCCUAUAAAUUCGUUAAUUCCAUGAGUAAUGAGUCGUUGCUAUGGCUAGGGCUGGAGUAGAGAGUUUAAAGGUCAACCAUAUACUUGGAUUGAGCAAACAUCAAAAUGAUCACUUUUUUCACUUUGGGAUAUUGCCAGCACAUAUCGCAGGCAAUUGAAGGAGGACAGGAAUUUAAUUUUCUAUUACAAGAAUUGAAGAAGAACAAGCACAAAGAGAUUGAAUCCGAAGAAGAAGAACAACAACAAAACGAACUGAAUCCAAAACGAAAGCUUGAAGCGAUUGAAACCACCAAUGGCUCAGGUGGGUAUAUUGAUUUGAUUUUUUUUUUUUCCUGGUGGGUUGUGGAUUUACGGUGUAAUUUUUGGUAAUUUAGGUAAGACAAUAGCAUUUGGGGUGCCGGCAAUGAUGCAUGUGUUGAGUAAGUGAAGGGGGAAGGCGGUGGGGAAGAGGGUGAAUCCACUUUGCCUUGUGCUUUCACCCACCAGGGAGUUGGGUGACCAAGCAUGUACCUAUAUGCCACUGUUCUGCUUUUAGGUAUUGUGACUGUAGGUGAUUAUUUGUGCUGAAGUUUCAGCUUUUAGAUUACAAAUGAUACAUUUUGAAUGGUUGAAAGACUGCAUCUUGGAAUGUGUAGUUCUGUGAUUUUCAUGGUAGAAUGUAGCACGAGGAUUUUCUAGGAAUUCAGCCAUUUUAUUAUUUUUCUAGUCCAGGCAUGCAGUAACAUAGAUACUUGUUGAGUAGCAGUAAGAGUAAUCAAGCCACUUAUCCUUAUCUAUCAAAGAAAAAAAGCUGCUUCUAUCUUGCAAUUAUAAUUGAAUGUUAAAAAAAAUAUAUCCAUCAGGAGCUAUGGAGAGUAUAUAAGUGGUAAAAUGUUUGUUUGUGCUGUGUUUCUGUUACUGCAGUAUGAAACAAGCAUGAUCUUUUAGAGUGUACCUGUCUCAUUUGUUUACAUAUUUUUUGAUGAUGUUGUAUUGCUGCCUAUUUUUCUUUACAUCCAUGUUUAUGUUAUCUCUUACUUGUUUAGUUGAUGCUAUGAGAAACAUUCCUCAAAGCAUGAACUCAAUUAUUGACUUUCAUUGCUGGUGGCAGAUUUAUGAUGUUUUGCAUGAUGCUGGGAAAUCUUGUGGUGUGAGGUCUGUUUGUGUGCAUGGAGGAACCUCGAAACAACCUCAAAUUACAGCCUUACAGUCCUGGUGUUGUAAGUUAUUCUAUUUCAUCUUUCUAUUUGUUUUUGGCUAGCUUUACUUAGUUUUCUCUGUUCGGUUGUUUAUUAGACCAUUUUGGACUCCAACCGUAUGUCUUAACGGAUAUGAAGUUUGCAUGAUGUCUUUUAUAGUCUUAGGUCUGAAUCGGCUCUAAAUUUGGAUUGUUAGUUAUUCGUAAUUGAUGCUUUGUUAUUCAAAUUUAUGUAAUUACUUUAGAUUGUGGUCCUCUGAGAAUUUAAGGCAUAAUUCAAGUCUUGUAAUGCCAGUUUGAUCUUUGCAUAUCAUAAGAUAUAGAGUAUUAGAAUCUGGCAGUUGUUUGGUUUUUUAUGAGGCAUGUUUCCCAAGUUUUCCUUCUGAUCUUAUCCUUCACUUUUAUGGUUCUUCAUCAUUGAAUUCUCAUUUGUCAGGUCUGUCUACUGCUUGUUUCUUAAAUUAGCCCAUUAAAUCUGCUUUAACAACUCCAAUUCUUAAUUAUACUGUAACUCUAUACAUCCUGUCAAAAAUUAUGUACGGCUAUCUUUACAAUUCUUAUGCUAGAAUAGCAUUGCAAAUGAAGAUAUCAAGGUUGGCUAUCAUUCAUUUGAUGCUUUUAGAUUGUGUGUGGCACACAGAGAUAGAUUUCUAUUGCCUUAAUUUUAUUGAUCAUGAGGAGAUCUAGUUAAGUCUUGCCGAUAGCUUGGAGAUAAUUUGUCCGUUUUAUUAUCAUUGGAAGCAUACAGUUAUUUUCUUGAUUGCCCCUAUAUAUUAUUCUAUGAUGUGGUAGUUGGCACUUUCCAUAUGCAAGAUUUUCUUAUAAUUACCUAGUAAUUGACAUUUUCUUUCUUGUGUGCACAGGACAUUGUGAUUGGAACACCUGGUCGUUUGAUAGAUUUGAUUGAAAUGAAUGUCUGUCACCUUUCGGAGGUUUCUUUCGUGGUAAGGACAGCCAUUUAGAGUAUUGGUCUUCUAAUUACUGUUUGUAUUGAUUUAGUUAUAAAUAGCACUGCUGCUUUGAUGUUGUAUUUUCUUAUUUCUAUUUGAGGGUGGGUUUAAUUGGAAUUUAUCUCUGGCUUAUUAAGUUGGAGAUAAAGUUUGCAAAGUUAUCAAAAUUAUUACAAGAUGGGAUGAAUAAAGUGGAUGAGAAAAGGUAGAAAACCUCAAGAGUCCCUUGAGCCCUCCUAGCGUCAAAACUAGAGUAUUUUCAAAGGAGUUUCUUUUUAAUGGAAAGAUAACUAGAAGUUCUAAUACAGCUUGUAAAAGGCUUUGCCAUCAGUAAAUUAGCUCCUUAACUCCUAACUUUGUAAGGGAUGAUGGAUUCUUUUGUAAGAUUUCCUAAAUUCCUAAACAGAAUCCAAAUGAAACUGAGCAAGAUUAGAAGUAGAAGAAAGAGCAAUACAUUUUAAGAGGAGUACAGAAAAUAAGUAAUAGUGCUUUGUAUCAGCAGAGUUUGUAAAAACUUCACUUUUAACAAUAAGUAACUUCACUUUUAACAAUAAGUAUUAAAUAUAAUCUGAAAUGACUUGAUGUUUAAAACUUUCUGUAGGUCCUUGAUGAAGCAGACCGAAUGCUUGAUAUGGGAUUCAAAGAGCCAGUUCGCUUUAUUUUGAGCAAGAUAUCUUUGGGUAUAUGUUAUAUAUGAUUUUGUUUCUUCUCUACCUUAUAAUUAUCACUUGAAGUCCUUUUGAGCUGGAGCAAGGUGUUGAAGCAGAAUAUUUUAUUUGGGAUGGCCACCUUGUAAAAACUAUUAACAUCAGACAAUGACAUUUAAGUGGCCAAAUACUUAUGUGCCCUUUAAUUUACAUUCCAAAACCUUUUUGUUUUUCUUUUUUUUUUCCUUUUUUUACUGUAUUGUAUUAGUGACCUUUAAUUUUUUUCUUUUUUGGUAACAGAAGUAUAGAGUGAGAGAAACAUAAUCUAAAAAAAUGUAAUUAGUGAAGAAGCUGGGCUGGAAAUCUCUUAUUGAUGGGUGUUUGAUGUAAUAUUGUGUACAAGUCUUCAUCUUUUGAUCAUUGUUGCAGUGUCAAUUGUAGUUGUAUUUGGGCUUUUGUAUCCUAUAUAUGUGAAUUUGUUUGGAUACAUUUUCAAUCCAAAUUAAAUAUUUUCAUCACAGACAUUUCCCUGACUUGGGAAAAAUUCUUAAAAUUGUUCAGCUUGCCAGAUGGUAAUGUUCAGUGCUACAUGGCCUAUAUUUUGUUUUAGCUAGUGACAUUGCUAUUUCAGGCACUUGCUGGGGAGCUGGUGAAUGUUCUCAGAGAAGCUAGACAAGUUGUGCCAGAUGCUCUUCUAAAAUUUGGCACUCAUGUAAAGAAGAAGGUGUACGGUUCUAUCCUUUUUGUUACAUUUUUUUUUUCAUUCGAUUUGCUGUGUAUCCAGUUGCUUGGCACAUAUGUUUGGAAAUGUUGUGCAAGCAUGCUUGGUCAUCUGUUUUCUGCCCUGAAUUAGUUUUCUCUGUGCCUCCUCGCAUUGCAGGAGUCCAAGCUGUAUGGAGCUCACUUCAGAGAAAUUUUGGCCGAUGCUCCCAAGGCUAAAAAAAUAACAUUUAACAACUCUGAUGAUGAAGGCUGAUUCACGUAUUGUUGCCCCUGAAACUCGUGUAGGGCUAGCGGCAAGAUAUAUAGGAAUAUAGGAUUAGCUAUUAUUGAAAUUGAGAAACAAAUUUCUGAGUUGCUAUGGUCUAUUUUCGAUAAGUUAAUCCAUUUCUUACUUUUACAAACAGCUGCAAGAUAGACAUGAACACGCAUCAAUCUGCUGAUAUGUAAACUUCAUGCUUGUACAAGCUUUCCAAGCAUUUUUGGUUAUAUACAAGUUACUCGUUGCUACCCGGCUACAUGUGUAUCGCUGCUUUGUCCCAUAAGAGUAAUUUACUCGUUUCUAACUCCGCAGGUUAAGAAUUGUAGAAGAACAGAAAUAUACUGUUUGGUUCAAAGGAAAAUCUUAGAGAAAAUGAAACUAUGAAAAUUCCAGUUGAUUCAUUAUUAUCUUAUUUGUUUAAAAGCUCACGUUUAUAUACAAAGUUCUCACACGUGAUUUCUACUUGUAAUUAACAAACUUUACAUAACGAAUUAUGAGAUGUAUAACGACAGUUUAACCAACUCAGCCGAACUUCUAUAUUUCACUAAUAACCUUCUGUUAACGUGGCUUCACUGAACUGCUCGAAUAGUGAGCUACCUUCACAGCCCCCCUCAAACUCAAGGGACAUGGGAGAACGUUGAGUUUGGCUCUCAAGUAGUUGAACUUUAUGAACGAAAGUGACUUUGUCAUUAUAUCAGCUACUUGCUCCUCACUUGGUACAUACUUGAUGCUCAAUUCUCCAGCAAGUACUUUGUCUCUAACAUAAUGUAUGUCAAUCUCAAUAUGUUUCGUUCUUGAAUGAAAAACUGGAUUGUGAGCCAAUUGCGUGGCACUAAGAUUAUCACACCAAAUGGCAGGUUUUUCUGUGCACUGCAAAUUUAACUCAGAGAACAGAGACUGCAACCAACUUAUCUCUGCACUUGCUGCAGCUAGUGAUCUGUAUUCACUUUCGGCACUUGAUCUAGCAAUGACUGGUUGCUUCUAGGAUGACCAAGAUAUCAGAUUGUGACCCAAGUAGACACAAUAAGCACCAACUGACUUCCUGUCAUCUAAGUCCCCUGCCCAAUCUGCAUCUGUGAAACAUGUCAACUUCAUAUCACCCUCUUUCACAAAUUUGAGUCCAUAAUUCUGUGUUGCUUUCAAAUAUCUCAGCACCCGUUUGCAUGCCAUGAGAUGCUGCAAUGAUGGUGCAGAAACAUACUGACUUAGUUUAUGCACACUGAAGGCAAUCUCUGGUCUUGUCAGAACCAAAUACUGCAUUCCACCAACGAUGCUUCUAUAAUGUGUAGCAUCUUCAAUCAUGUACUCAUACGAGUUUCAACAUCUUUGCAAUUUAUCAUCUCAACCUUUGAUAAAAAGUCCCUUAUAUAUUUCCUUUGUGAUAAGUAUAUACAAUCUGUGUCAUACAACACUUCAAUUCCUAAGAAGUAAGAGAGAGCUCCAAGAUCCUUUAGAGCAAACAUUGUGCUGAAUUCAACAAUAAAGCUUUCUAAUUCAGAGCUAUUUGAUCCUGUUAUUAGAAUGUCAUCAACAUAAAUGAGGAUUAAGAUCAGAGAUGACUUACUUCUUCUUAGAAAUAAAGAAGUAUCUAAACUGGAGUUCAUAAAUCCCCACUGUAACAGGCAUCAUCUCAACUUAUCAUACCAAGCUCUUGGAGCUUGUUUAAGACCAUAUAGAGACUUAUGAAGCUUACACACAUAUUCUGGUUUUUCAACAUCAACAAACCCCUCUGGCUGAUCCAUGAACACUUCCUCAGUCAACUCUCCAUUGAGAAAAGCAUUAUUCACAUCAACUUGUCUUAUCUUCCACUGAUUCAUCACAGCCAAACUUAGAAUUACCCUUACAGUAGCUGGCUUUAUGACAGGGCUGAAUGUUUCAAAACAAUUUACUCCCAUAAUCUGUUGGAAUCCCUUAGCUACUAAUCUAGCUUUGUAUUUGGCCACACUUCCAUCAGUGUUAUAUUUCACCCUGUACACCCAUUUAUUCCCAACUACUUUUUGAUCAGCUAUUCUUGGCACUAGGGACCAUGUACCGUUCUGCAUUAAGGCUGCAAGCCACUUUGGAUUUUGCAUGGCCUCAUACACUGAAUCAGGUUCUUUGUGAAUGAGAGCUGCAGUAUAUAGUUUAGGUUUGAAGAUACCAGCUUUGCUUCGGGUAGUCAUGGAAUGGAUAUUAGGUUGAACAGAUGAUGAUGGAUAAGGUACAGGUUGUGGUAUUGGAGUAUUUGGCUCUGUAGGUAGUUCUAUGGAUGGUUCUGUAGGUGGUUCACUAAUUGAUAUAUGUUGCUGUAAAGGAAGGUUUUGGUUAUCAGUAUGAGAUGAAUUGUCUGAACUCUGAGAGCUGUUGCUGAUAGAACUUGUAGAGUGUGGAUUGUAUGAGUUGUCAGUAACUGAAACUAGUAAUGUUGACAAAUAAUAUACUUGUUGAGGUGUGAAAGAUUGACUUGAAUGAGGAGUUGAUUCAGUAGAAUGAAAAACUGAAUCUAUUGAAUAAGGAAAAGUAGACUCCUCAAAAACAACAUGUCUGACUAUGUAUAUUCGACCUGAAGGAUGCAUACACUUGUAUCCUUUAUGAGAUGGACUAUAACCAAUGAAAAUACACUUGCUUGAGUGAUAAUCGAAUUUAUGCUUAUUGUAAUCUCUUAAGUAAGGAUAACAUGUACAACCAAAGCACUUGAGCAUACUAUAAUCAGGUUUGUGAUUAAAUAUUUUCUCAUAUAGAGUAAUAAGUUUCAAGGCUGUAGAUGGUAGUCUGUUAAUGUGAUACACAGCUAUAUGAAAAGCAUCCCACCAAAACUUGAAAGGUAACUUGGCUUGUGCCAAUAAGGGGAGUCCUAACUCAAUAGUGUGUCUAUGUUUCCUUUCAACUACUCCAUUUUGGUGAUGUGUGUAGGGACCAGAGUGUCUAAAGAUAAUUCCACACUGGUUUAAGAAAUGAGUGAAUGCUCUAUACUCUCCCCCCCAAUCAGAUUGCAGGUUCUUAAUGGUGGUGCUAAGUUGGUUUUCAACCUGCAAUUUGAAUAGCUUGAAGACCUCGAAUGCCUCUGAUUUCAAUUUGAGGGGAUAGAUCCAAGUAUAACGACUGAAAUCAUCCACAAAACUUAUGUAGUAAGUGUAUCCAUCUCUAGAUGAGAUGGGUGAGGGUCCCCACAAGUCUGUGUGAAUAAGUUCAAGAGCCUUAGUUGUUUUGAUUUCUGUAAUGGGGAAAUGAAGUUUAUGAGAUUUUCCCAUCUGGCAGGCUUCACAAAUUUGAUUCAGUGCUUGUUUUAUGCUAUUACUUGAGAGAUUAAUAGAAGCAUUAUUUUUCAGCAAAUGCAUUAGUGUUUGAGAGUUAUGAUGACCAAAACGUCUGUGUAGAAGGAGUGCUUUAUUAUUUAAUCCAUUACAAGAUGAAUUUUGACUGUAAACUUUAUUGUCUGAUGCAUUACAAAGAGAAACAGAACUGAGAUUAUUAUUCUGAGUAUUAUUCAAAACAUGAGGACCAAGAGAACAUGCAGACAACAUUGACAAUGGUUGAAUAUGAGAAGUUUGGCACAUGAAUGAGGAAGGAAUAGACUCAGAUGGCUUGAGAAUCAGUUUAUACAAUCCUUUCUCAGCAAGUCCUUUCAGAAGCACUUGCCUCGUCAGAGAAUCCUUCACAUAGCAGACAUCACCAGUAAAUUCAAUGGACAAGUUAUUAUCAGUGGUCAAUUUUGAUAUGCUUAGCAAAUUCUUUGUGAUAUCAGGCACUAAUAACAUAUCUUUGAGCAAAAUAUGUGUUGAUUUAUAGGCAACAUUUGAUCCCUUAUAAGUAAAGCAUGCAUCACCAACAUGAGUUAUAGACAAACCGUGACCAUCGCCGAUAACAAGCUGAUCUGAUCCCUUGAAUUCUUCUCUGACAUUCAUGUUAGCCAUAUUGUUGGUCAAGUGAUGCGUGGCACCACUGUCCAGAUACCAUCCAUCAUCAGCAGGCCCUUCAUAAUUGGUAAGAUAAGCUUCAGGAGCAUUAAACUCUGCAGAUGGAUAAGAUGAGUGAUACAUUGGAUUAAAGCCAGAGUAAAAAGGAGCAGCAUAAUUGUCUUCCACUGUUGGAGCAGCGUAAUUUGUAAAUGGAUCGAAAUUAGCCAUAUAAGCAGCCUUGGACCUAAAUGAUCUACCCUUUCCAAAGUGUUUGGGUAAUGGUGUAGGACUAUCAUCAUAUAUGUGCCAGCAUUCAUCUGUUGUGUGCCCUUGCUUAUGACAUAUCUGACAUAUUGGUGGUGAUUCAUCAGAGGGUGUAUUAGCUGAAGGAUGAAAAGCUGAAAGAGGAUAAUUUGGUCUCACAGAUGGCCUUAGAAAUUGCACUGUUUGUCCUCUACCAUAGCCUCCAAAAUUUGCAACACCAGUAGGAGAUCCUCUAGGAUAUGAAUUAUGAAACACACCUCUUCCACCAUUAAAACUUCUAUUACCAGAACAACCAUAAUUUCCAUUACCAAAUGUGCCUCUUCUAAAAUUUCCUCUCAUGUAAGAGUGAUUAACAUUCAUUGAACUGUAAUUUGCAUUAAGCAUGGUUUUAGUACCUUGACUCUGUUCAAGUCUAGCUUCAUGUGUCAACAAUAAGGCAUAUGCAUCAUCAUAACUCAUCUUAUUUGCAGUAAUGAUUGAAGCCAGAUCUAAAUAGCCAGAACCUAAACCAUUUAAAAUCCUCAUCAACAUAUCUUUUUCAGUAAUGAUAUCACCAGCACAGGCAAGUUUGUUUGCCAGUAGCUUCAUUUUUGCACAAUAUUCCUCAAUAUUCAUUGAAUCUUUCCUUAAGAUAUUCAUUUCAUAACGAAGUUGCAUGAUCUUAACUUCAGAUUGAACUCCAAAUUGUUUUUCAAUAGCUUUCCACACAUCAAAAGAAGUAUCAUAGCUAAGGAUUGAAUUGAGAAUACCUUCACUUAUGGUUGAUAGCAGCCAACCAAGAAGUGUUUGAUCCAGUGCUCUCCAGUUGACAUAAGCUGGAUUUUCAACAUUCUCUCCAGAUCCAUCAGUUGUUGCAUUCGACAGAUAUUGUUCUGGAAUAAUUUGUGGCUCUGAAAUGAAUUUUUCCAAGCAAUUUCCUCUUAUCGAAGUGAUCAAGACUUGUUUUCGCCAAAGCAGAAAAUUAGAUCGAUCUAAUUUCACAGUAGCUACGAAAGUAAAUGAAGUUUGUGAUGGUUGAUUCAAAUUCAUGAUCGAUUGAUUUGAAGUUGCAGUACUUGAAUUAGCCAUUGUGGCUCUGAUACCAUGUAGAAGAACAUAAAUAUACUGUUUGGUUCAAAGGAAAAUCUUAGAGAAAAUGAAACUAUGAAAAUUCCAGUUGAUUCAUUAUUAUCUUAUUUGUUUACAAGCUCACGUUUAUAUACAAAGUUCUCACACGUGAUUUCUACUUGUAAUUAACAAACUUUACAUAACGAACUAUGAGCUGUAUAUCGACAUUUUAACCAACUCAGCUGAACUUCUAUAUUUCACUAAUAACCUUCUGCUAACGUGGCUUCACUGAACUGCUCGAAUAGUGAGCUACCUUCACAAGAAUUGUGACUUAAGCGUGUUGACGACUUUUUUUGUUAGACAACAUCUUUUGAAUUGGCCCUUUUGUUGUAGUGAUGAUGAAAAUGUACCAAAUAAUUUUGUAAACACAAGUGCAGAAACUUCUAAUCAUCUUUCCCAUCGUUGUUUUGUGGCCUCAAGACUGUGGAGUAGAGUUGGCAAAAUGAAAGCUCAAUGGAAAGUGCCUUUCGAUCAAAAUCAAAUAUGCAGGCAGUCUUAAAAUUUAAAAGAAGGAAGCAAUCAAUAUAAGAGUAGAAAAUUUCAUAAGUAGAAAAAUUUAGGCUCGAAAAGUGCAGCAUUACUCUAGAAAUUAUUGUACAAACUAGGCUUGUAUAAGCAUUAACGUUGGUUUCCAUUGAGCUUGACAUUUUCCGCAAGAUAUAUUUGGGAAUCGAUUUGUAAUUUCUCAUUACAUCUUUAGUCUUUACAAACUAAUCCUAUGGCUGGGGUUAAAUGCAUCCAACGGCUGCUGCAUGCAGUACUUACACAUUACAGCUUUCUCUUGUUUUUUUUCCAUUGCACGUGUUUGUUGAAAGCAAUGAAGUGUGAUAUUGCUCCGGAGCUUCACUGGGACAUUUCAACAAACACUUAUUACUUUUAACAGACACUUAUCACUUUUAACAAACACCUGCUCGACUAACAUUUCUUACUUCUUUUAUAGUCAAGGAAUCCUCUUCUCCAAGUUUAAUGUUUAGUACUUGCUAAAGAUAUAUGUAUUUUAUAACCAUAUAUUUAAUUGGUCAAAUGAAAUUCUAAGGACCUGAUGAAGCAAUAGAAUUUUUUCUUUUAUUCAAAAUAAAUUUCACUAUGAAGUAAUUAGCUAUUAGACUUAUAUUUACAAAUUGAGCUAGGAAACUUAAGAAACUAAACAAAGAUAAAAGAAAAUAUUAACUGAUAGAGAAUUGAUUAUGGAUUUGUGAUUCAUGAAGCUCUUUGCUUGAAAAGCAGCUGCGUGCCAGAAACGGGAAUGCACUUGAAGAGAAAACCAAUUGGCCAAGACAUAGCUGCAAUGCCAAUACAAGCUGCCCAUUGCCCCCAAUUCAGCCUCUCAGUAUCAGCAAACUUCUUCAGAAACUCUACCAUUAUGAGUUGAAGAACAAUGGUAAUUCCAAUGAUUGCUAGAAACAACUUGUUCUUGUGUAUCCCUUUGAAUAUAUUCUUCUUCUCAAGUUUCCUAGCAUUGAACUCAUUGAAGAUUUGGCAGAAGACAAAAGUAUUGAAAAUCAUGGUAUCUUUAACACUUUCAUUCACGCCGAAGAUUGAUCUUCCUUUAAAUUGCAGAGUCAGUAAGAUGGUCACCUGAUAAAUGGCCUGAGGGAUGAGAUUCCUCCACAUGAGUUUUGUUAUCAGAGGCUCGGAUCGGCCAACGGGAGGCUUUGACAUGAGAUCAUUGGUGGGCUGCUCAGUGGCCAAUGCCAAUGCUCCUAGUGUAUCCAUUAUCAGGUUCACCCAGAGCAGCUGAACAGCAGUCAGUGGGACUUUUCCUGAAGAAACAGCAGCAACAAAGUUGAUGACAAGAGCAGCAACAUUGACUGUGAGCUGAAAUUGAAGGAAUUUCUGAAUGUUGUUGUACACACAUCGUCCCCAUCUCAGAACUGUCACUACAGAGGUGAAGUUAUCAUCCAUAAUGACGAUAUCUGAGCUCUCCUUUGCCACUUCAGUUCCUUGAAUUCCCAUCGAGAGUCCUAUAUCUGCUGCCUUUAGAGCAGGAGCAUCAUUUGUGCCAUCGCCAGUCACUGCUACAACAUGGCCUUUCUGCUUCAAGCUUUGAACCAUCAGAAGCUUGUCUAGUGGGGAAGACCUUGCCAUCACUCUGAUACUUUCAAUCUUUGCCACUCUUUCUUCAGCUGAGAGACUUCUAAAUUUCACACCUUCGAUUACUGCAUCAUCAUUGUUUAAACCCACAUCAGGGUUCAGGAUUCCACAUUCAAUAGCUAUGGCUCUAGCCGUGUGCACAUUGUCUCCAGUUACCAUCUUGACAUUCACCCCUGCAUUUCUACAACAUUCAACUGCUGCUCUGACACCUGGACGACAAGGAUCCUUCAAGCCCACAAGGCCCAACAAGGUCAGGCCAGUUUCUUCAAGCUUCUCCUGAACCUGCCCAUCAGCCUCUGCAACUUUGGUGUGAGCAAAAGCAAUGCAUCGUAAGCUCUUGGCUGCCAUGUCCUUGAUAACUAUCUCAAUUUGCUUUCUCGCUUCACCAUCCAAGACUCUGAUUGUCCCACUUUUGACAUAAUAAUGAGAACACAUGGCCAGUAUCAUCUCUGCAGCUCCCUUCCACUGUAUGUGAACAGUCUUUUCGCGGAUCCUCUUCACCAAAACUCCACUUCUCUUUUUCUCUGAAUUGAAGGCCUCCACGUUGAUUACUUUACAGCACUGUUUCGGUUCAUCAACAUUCAUCCCCAAAUCAAGCACAGCCCAAGAAAGAAUUGCCUUCUCAGUUGGGCUACCAGUAAUCUCGGGAGUCGAUUCAGAAUUCGAUUUGUAAACAUUACCAAUGGUGUUUAAACCAACUGCAUCUUGCAGCAACUCGUAGAGAUUAUGUGCUAAUCCUGAGGAACUAGCAUUGCCCGUCAUUGCUUCUUUUCCAAUCCAGAAUUCCGUAACCUUCAUUUGAUUUAAAGUGAGAGUGCCUGUUUUGUCAGUGCAAAUGGUUGUUGCAGAGCCCAUAGUCUCACAAGCAGAGAGCUUUCUUACCAUAGCAUGUUCCUUCAUCAUUCUCUUCAUCGAAAAAGCCAGCGUAAGAGUAACAGCAAGAGGCAAGCCUUCAGGAAUUGCCACAACAAUAAUGGUGACAGCAGCAGCAAUAAUGUUGAUCACAGAAUUCAUCACAUCAUCGACCUUCGUCUUCCUCCCUAGAAAUUCUCUGUUUCCCGUCUCAUCUCUUGUGUUUCCUGUGAAGUACCGAAUCAACAUAACCGCAAGCACAAGAACAGCCACUGUUAAUCCAAUCUUCCCAAUGCAAGAAGUCAGCUUGUUGAGCCGAGCUUGCAAUGGCGUCUCCUCAUUCAACUCGUGGCUAAUUGAGCUCAUCAUCUCACCCCAAGCAGUGCUCAUUCCAACAGAAGUGACCAGCAUGAAGCCAUAGCCAUCGGUCACUUUAGUACCCGAAAGCAAGAAAGGACUCUUCUCAUCAACUUCAACAUGAUCACUUUCCCCAGUCAUGCUAGACUCAUCAACCUUCAAAGAAUGGCCGUUCAAGAACAACCCAUCAGCCGGAAUUUGAUCACCAGUCUUCAAACAAACAAUUUCACCAACAACAACAUCAAAGAUUGACAAACCCUGGCGCCUGCCAUCUCGCACAACUUCAACUCUUAUAUCACUGCUCUCAUCAGCAAGAGCCUGAAAUUGUCUACUCUGCUUAAAAUUACUCACAGCAGAGACGAUGACAACUAAAAAUACAGCAAAUAUGAUGCUACCGCCAUCGAACCAACCUUCUUUCAAGCCUUCUUGUUUAAUGCCAAACCCCAGAGAGAGUAAAGCACAAACCAAGAGUAUGAUAAUAGUUGUAUCUUUAAACGCCUCAAAAACAAAACUUAUAAAGCUUUUUGGUUUUGGUCUUUUGUACCUGUUUGCUCCGAAAACACUAAUCCUGUGACCAAGAUUAGCUUCACUGCCACUAAUGCCACGUUUGGUAUCACUUUCAAGAAUCGCAGCAACUUGAUUAACUCCUCCAAGAUUACUCAAGGACUCAAAAAUCUUCUCUUUCACCAUCUUUGAGAGCAUCUGCUUGUCGACCCCGACAAAGGGAACUUCAUGAUCGUCACUGGUACUAAUGUCGACGGCAACAUAAGAGAGCGAGCGAAGCAAGAUUUGGUUGUUGUUUUGAAGACACUUUCUGGACAUUGAAACAAGAGCUCUGGUGAAGCAUAUGACCCUGAAGGCCAUUCGCCACCUUCUUUGGUGGCGUUUUGAAAGUAUCAAGAGGUCAUGAUCUAAUUCAUUGACCGGCGUUGUAUUUUCAGUUGGUUUCCGAGACCUAAGAGUCAGAGACAUGGCUGAAAAAAAAAGAAUGAGGACAAAGAUCAAGAAUCUGUAACAAUGGAACGAGUUUGUAAGUCUGUGAAUGGGUUCUCUUUAUAUAUAGGGCUUUGCGAGGAGCCAAGAACUUGCACUGUAGCUUCCUUUCUUAACUGUCACAGAGAAAUUCUCUCGGAUGAUUGUUACUGACAAGCUGCUUCUGUUUCCUGGUUUUUUCCUUGGUCAUUAUGAUUUCUUUCGCAACACUAUUGAGUUUUACUAAAUUUGGAUUGUACAUUUGUAGGUUAUGCAGGCUUUUACAUUCGAGCAAUAAAGGAAGGAAUUAAUAGUUUUACUUAUUUUUCUUUAUUUUUAUUGAUUACCAUAUAACAAAGAUAUGGCGUGUCAUUUAUCCGGUGGUAAUUAAUAGACUUUCACAAGUUACGAGUGAAUUAAAUACAUUACACAUUGUUCAAUGUCAUUCCAUUUGAAAUAAUAUAUUUUGAGAUAAUAUAUCCAAGAAGAAAAAUUGUAUUGUGAAAAUUUCUCAUAAAUUAAAAACCUUAUAGCGCAAGGAUUCUCUUGCCCAAGUAAAGUACAAAUUUUUCUUUAAAUUUUUCUUCAAAGCUGUAUGAUUACAUAUUCUUUAACCGAUCCGUGAAAUAUUUGAUGAUGUUAGCAUAUAUUAGAGUUGAUUUUCACAAAAAAGGUUUACUUUCUGGGGUAAAUUCUCUUUUCCCCUUCGUUUGAGUCAAUCAUCAGUUACUGCAUAAAAGUUACUACACAAAGUUUUAAAAAUUAACCAGAAAAUCUCUACCGUUACUUCUAGAGUUAUUGGAUAUAAUGAGGUAGAUUUUAACGGAAACAAAUACAUAGCAUAAACAUUUUGAUUUUCUUUUUUCAUUUUAAAAUGUAUAGACUAACUGAGUAAUUGGCUCCCAGUCUCAAAUUAUAGGGAGGAAACGGACAUUUACUCUUACUUUCAUAUUCACAAACCUUCUUUCCAUAUACUGACCUUCUUGCCUAAAAAUUUUGAUGGCUUCUUUGAGAUGCCACGCGACUAAACACAAUCAAGUGAAAAGCCUCUUUGAAGUCACGCAUGGCAUGGGAUAUCAAUUUAGUAUUUACUUUUACUGUAAAUAGAACAAACAACUGCACAUGGAAUGUAAAGGGUAAUUUUUCUUUUUACGACAUUGAAGUGUUCUUCAAGCAAAGACUUUCGGUCAAGAAAACGAACUACAAACUUAUGAUUGGGGAAAAAGUCAUGAGUUGGCUCAAUUGAUGAACUAUAAAUGAUUCGAUAAUAUUUUCCUAAAUUGUAGAAAUUUUUUGCUCACAUUACCAAAAUUCUCUUAUUAUGUACGAGUUUCUUCUGAGUAAAACUUCAGGCGGUGAUUGUGAUUUUUUCUUUUAGAAAAAUAAAGCUGAUUUAGGUUUGAAAAUAUUGUUUUAAGUACUUUUUAAGUAGAUUUUUUUUUCCUCAAGUUGAAUUGAUAGAGAAUUUAGCUAUAAAAAAAAAUGCUUUCGAGGAAAUUGCAUGAUCUUUCUUCUGUUCAAUGAAUAAUGAAUGUAUUUUAAGGACCUGUCUAUGGUACAGAUUCUGUAACAAACAUCUCCCGUCAUCCCACCAUCCGAUUUUCUAUUGUUUAGUUUCUCACUCCACAUCCAACGGCGGAUGCUGCAGUCUGUAGCUUACAGAUUCUGUAAGCUAGUCAAGUCCGUAUUUUAAUUUGGCAGUUAGGGAAUGCGAGAAAUAUUCAAUAUUCAUUCAUUCACUUUGUGUUUAUCUGUCAAAGCGUACGCAUUAAUUCGUUUCUGUUUUAAAACAUGAUAGCUAGUGUGACCUAACUGUGAAUGUGAUUUAAUACAUUAUUUCAUUUUUGAAAUCAGCAGUUUAGCGUUUAGUAUGACUUUUAAUUUCUUAUUGACGCGUGUUUGGUAAGACAAUUAAAAUGAUAUGACCCUUUUAUUAUUAUGGAAAAGGACACCUAUAAUUUCAAGGAUUGAGAAAAUGGUCAAGUAAACCCCCAAAUUUUUAAUAAGAAUACCAAGACCUCCUUUCGAUUAUAAUAUCCUUAAACUCUUUUAACCCAAAAACAUGAAUUAGUUUCCAAUUUAGUGUUCGGUUUUAUGAGAAUUCCAAAAGGCACUGUAAUGAUUCUAAGGUAUUUACCGGAAUUAAUUACUUGGUCUGUUUUAUUUAAAGCAUAUGUAGAUAAUUUCAAAAUUAUCGUGGCAUGUGUAGAUAAUUAAAAUAAUUGUAGUCACACUAAAAGGCUAAAAUCAAAAGAUCCGUCUCGCAUAGUCAUAUGAUCAUCGUCGAGGGGAAAUAAUCCCUAUCUUGUAAGCUAGGUUUCCAUGUUAUAUCUAUCUCCUUAAGCCAUAAGAAUUAGGGUUUAACCCUUUCGGAAGUCGCCAUCUGUUUAAGAAAAUAAUCUCUGCGAACCCCUCGAAAACCAUGAUUUGUUCUGCUUUGUAUCCUAUAUUUUUUGCGCAUCUACAAGAAAACUAUUAAUAGAUGACAGACAACUUAUGACAG
rnacentral:lncRNA from 1 species